UCAAAUAAGCAAUGGAGACAGUCAUUUUCAUUGAUCAACCACUACAGAGCUUGGCCUGGUAUAUGCUAUAGCCCCAAAUGGCAAACAUGGCUAUGCCUCUUUA